rnacentral:rRNA from 1 species
GACGUAGGGGGCGAGCGUUGUCCGGAAUUACUGGGCGUAAAGGGCGCGUAGGCGGCAAGGUAAGUUAGAUGUGAAAACUCAGAGCUUAACUCCGAGAUUGCAUCUAAAACUGCCUAGCUUGAGUGCAUUAGAGGAGAGCGGAAUUCCUAGUGUAGCGGUGAAAUGCGUAGAUAUUAGGAAGAACACCAGUGGCGAAGGCGGCUCUCUGGGAUGUAACUGACGCUGAGGCGCGAAAGCUGGGGGAGCGAACGGGAUUAGAUACC